GAUGAACGCUGGCGGCGUGCCUAAUACAUGCAAGUCGAGCGAAUGGAUUAAGAGCUUGCUCUUAUGAAGUUAGCGGCGGACGGGUGAGUAACACGUGGGUAACCUGCCCAUAAGACUGGGAUAACUCCGGGAAACCGGGGCUAAUACCGGAUAACAUUUUGAACCGCAUGGUUCGAAAUUGAAAGGCGGCUACGGCUGUCACUUAUGGAGGGACCCGCGUCGCAUUAGCUAGUUGGUGAGGUAACGGCUCACCAAGGCAACGAUGCGUAGCCGGCCUGAGAGGGUGAUCGGCCACACUGGGACUGAGACACGGCCCAGACUCCUAUGGGAGGCAGCAGUAGGGAAUCUUCCGCAAUGGACGAAAGUCUGACGGAGCAACGCCGCGUGAGUGAUGAAGGCUUUCGGGUCGUAAAACUCUGUUGUUAGGGAAGAACAAGUGCUAGUUGAAUAAGCUGGCACCUUGACGGUACCUAACCAGAAAGCCACGGCUAACUACGUGCCAGCAGCCGCCGUAA
rnacentral:rRNA from 1 species